UACGUAGGGUGCGAGCGUUAAUCGGAAUUACUGGGCGUAAAGCGUGCGCAGGCGGUUUUGUAAGACUGUCGUGAAAUCCCCGGGCUUAACCUGGGAAUGGCAUUUGGGACUGCAAGGCUUGAGUGCGGCAGAGGAGACUGGAAUUCCUGGUGUAGCAGUGAAAUGCGUAGAUAUCAGGAGGAACACCGAUGGCGAAGGCAGGUCUCUGGGCUGACACUGACGCUCAUGCACGAAAGCGUGGGGAGCAAACAGG
rnacentral:rRNA from 1 species